UUCACCAUCUUUGCCAAGUGCAGCUUGGUGAUAGAGAAUCAAAGCUAGAAAUGUUCUGUAUUUCUCUGUUUAGGGUAGCUGUAGAUUCACUUUGCAUGUACAAUAUAGCCACCUGGAGGAAAAGGACACAGACGCUUUCUCUGCUCUUCCUAACAAAGGGAUAAAGCAGAGCACAUCACCAUCUGCUCAGACCUGUCUGAUGUUGGGCAGCUCAGGCACCUGCUGAAAGGCCGUCUCUCCUGGAUGCAGCCCCAGUCAAGCAACAGGCUCUGGGCAGGACAGUGCCAGUGAGACAGCAUUCACAUACACAGAAAUCACAGGAGGAAAACAAUUGGUGAACUUCACAACCUACAAAUUCCCUUCUUUGCUUGAAGAAGGUCUCUGGUGUUCAGCCAGUCUCCUAUGGUGCUUGGCCUUGAAAAUGCAUAGCAAGUUGGAAGUUCUAUCUAGCGGUUUCUGGAAAACUUUUCAAUAUGACAUUUCAUUUCCUUUAAAUCAAGGUAAGAGAACACUUCUCUUAAUGUGAUAUUAAAUCUGGGUGAAAAUAGAAAUGGAGACAGAGA
rnacentral:lncRNA from 1 species